AUAAACGCUGGCGGCGUGCCUUAGGCAUGCAAGUCGAACGAAUUCUAGCUUGCUAGAGUUAGUGGCGGAAGGGUGAGUAACGCGUGGGAACGUACCUAUUGGUGGAGUAUAGCCUUCCGAAAGGAGGGGUAAUACUGCAUAAGUUCGUAAGAAGAAAGGGCUUAACCGCCCGCCGAUAGAGCGGCCCGCGUCCUAUCAGUUUGUUGGUGGGGUAAUGGCCUACCAAGACAAUGACGGGUAGCUGGGCUGAGAGGUCGGCCAGCCACAAGGGAACUGAGACACGGUCCCUACAUCUACGGAUGGCAGCAACCGGGAAUCUUGGACAAUGGGGGAAACCCUGAUCCAGCGACGCCGCGUGGGGGAAGAAGGCCUUCGGGUUGUAAACUCCUUUUGCCAGUUAUAAUGACUUGGCGAAUAAGCACCUGCCAACUACGU
rnacentral:rRNA from 1 species